UUUAAACUCUUCCAAUUUCUCUUGUUAUCUUUAAUUUAGCCCUGAGAUGGCAAUCAAAUGAAGGAAUUUCGAAUAUGCUAAUAGAUAGAGCUCGAGCGUUGAAAAUCCUAAAAAAUCUGGCGAAGUGACUUGGUUGUGGCGAAGAUUGUGGCUGAACGGGGAUGAAAAGAAAGAAAUCAUGGUUUAAUCUCUCCUUCGUGUUUAGUUAUCAUUCUCCAUACCUCAUAAAUUUAGCCUAACUCCCUUCUAGGUUUAUGAUAAAGUGGUUUUGUUAUCUGUUCAUCCGGAGCGAUUGCUUCUUCUUCCAUUGCUGCUUCACUACCGACGAUGACCUUCAAGGAAAAGAAAGUCUUUCGAUGGUGGCUUAUUUGAAUAAACAUGAACUGGAUGGGUAAAGAUCUUCAGACAACAUUCCCAUGGUGAGACACCAGGCUUUGGGAGCUUACAUAUGUGGUACGAUUUACGCUAAAUAGUUGUUUCAAGAAAUAGACCUAGUCAAGAGUACCGAUCCUUGCUUUGUCUAUCCCUCUUCUUUCUUAUCGAGCUCCCAUUAUGCAGGAGGCCCUUUAUUAGGCUUGGAUGAUAUUUAAAGGGUUGGGGGUGAGUUGCUCCUCGACUCAGGAAACUGUUUCGAGAAUCACACACACAACAAGAACCAGGAGAUAAUUAAAGUAAAAAGUGCAGUAGUACAGAAAGGUAAAGAACUGGGUUUUUACGUGGAAACUCCUUACUCAAGGGAGAAAAACCACGACCUUCCUCCAGGAUUUCAAGCUAUACUAUAUUCAAGAAACCCCUUGAAUACAGACUCCAAGGAUUAGCCUCCUAAUCCUUCAUUUCCUAGCAAUAACUCUAUUACAAGGAAAUCAAGCAGUAACUUUACUGCUUCCACCCUCCAACUACCUCUAGCUGGACUCCUCAAGUUAACCCUAGCUUGACACAAUCACCUAACUCUAGUUGAUUUCAAGAGACGGGUACACCACAACCCCUACUGCAAUUAUAAGCAAUGUAGGCAGACUUUUAAGAACAAAAUUACAAAGACUCGACUAUAACAAGGAAGUAAAGAUCAACGAUGAGCAAUAAGUUCCCUGCUACAGUUACAGUCUUUUAUUACAAUGCUAC
rnacentral:lncRNA from 1 species